rnacentral:lncRNA from 1 species
CAUGAUAAGUAGAAGUAUUUGGCUCGGCUAGUCCUUAAAUGCUUGCUUCUGAGUGAAGCACGGGAUUGUUGGAACCCUGUCUCUCUUUAUUGUAUGCUUCUGUUCAGUUUUCAUGUCACAUUCAACCUUCUAGGGUUGAAGGUGAAAAGCCUUAUGGUAGACUAACAGUCUUCUUGUGAAGCAUGAGUCAGAAACAGUGUCAAUGUGCUUCUAUAUAUCUGAAUCAGUGUAUUUCAAAGUCCUGCAUAUGGUAAACUGGUU